UACGUAGGGCGCAAGCGUUGUCCGGAAUUAUUGGGCGUAAAGAGCUCGUAGGCGGCCAGUUGCGUCCGCUGUGAAAUCCCAGGGCUUAACCCUGGGCGUGCAGUGGAUACGGGCUGGCUGGAGGCAGGCAGGGGAGAACGGAAUUCCCGGUGUAGCGGUGAAAUGCGCAGAUAUCGGGAGGAACACCUAUGGCGAAGGCAGCUUGCUGGGACGGCACUGACGCUGAGACGCGAAAGCGUGGGGAGCAAACAGG
rnacentral:rRNA from 1 species